GGCACUCACUUUUUAUCUGCCUCAGAUGCAACCAGACAGAGAGUUAAUCAUGAAGGAGAAAUGAAGGAGCCUUUAGGCUGCUUUGAAGCUGGCAGGUGCCUGCCUCAAUUCCUUUUAUCACUAUCAGAAAUGGAUCAUUCAGGGCAGUUUCUUAGCUGGCUGCUUAACCUGCAAGGAGGCAGGAUGCUGAUGAUGAAAAUGUGUGUGAAAUAAGGCCGUGCUACUGGCACAGACAUNCACGAAGUGAAAGCCAUUUUGUUUUCAUGUCACACUCUGUCCCAAAGACUGAGCACCUUACACAAAUGUUCAAUCUUUCCCACAUUUGGAACCACACAAGGAGACUCUUUGUUUCAUACUCUGGAGGAGAACCCCUUGAGGAAGUGCCUCUACUGGAAUGGGCUGCCCUUGUGACUUCAGGUGGCCUUGCAAGGACCCUGAAGGCUCCUUGCUUUCAGCAAAGGUUGCAUUGCUCCACCUGCCAUAUCUNCACCCAAUUUUUUAAUAUAUUUUUACAUGAAUUUUUUCCAUAGGUUUUAAAGAAAAAUUAUUGUAUCUUUAUUGUGGCAUUUCUUAUACUGUAUUUUUGUCUGUGGUCUUAUUAGUGACCUAAUGAGAUUGUCUACAACUGCAUCUUUUCCUAACACAAUUUGCACUUGUUGUCCUUUUUGAGGUUUUCGUAUUUUUACUUUUGCGGCACUUGUAAGACUUGAUGAUGGGCUUGCAUAGCUUUCUGGGGUUUUUUCAAUGUUCCAUUCUGCAGCCAUUCCCAGUUGUUUUCCUUAUUUACCUUUCCUUCAGUGGUUUGUAUUCCUUUCCAGCUUUCCAANUGAUUAUUUACCUUCCAUAAUAAUGUUUUGUUUCCUUUAUAUUUAGAUGCUUUCUUUGCAUAUAUUCAUUAGGAUUUUUCUUUGCUCUGCUUGAUGCAAUCACCUAUACCCCUUUUCUCUUCCUCAGUACAAUUGAGUAGGUAUAACGGAGUUACAAAUUUCUAGGACAUAAUUUCUUGCAAAAGUUGCUGUCAUAUUUUAUUUUUAUGAUUAAACAAAUCACAUCACUGUUAUUGCUUUUAUGUUUAUGGCCCUAAUUAUAUUUGUUCCAUUAAACUUGGAUUUCAAGAUUUUACAAACCCUUUUUAUAUAUGAACCUUCUUUUUCAUUUAUGUUGAAUAGCUUCAAAGGAUAAAAUUCCCCAAUAUUUACAGUUUUCCUUUUUGUCAAGAUUUCUAAUUAAAUUUCCAUCUCCAAGUUUUAUUCCAAAUUUUUCAGCAAUGUUCAGCAAAUUGAGCAACUUCUUCAGUUCAUGAUAUUGCACAUUUUUCAAUUCCANUUGCCACUGCUAUAUCUUGACUAAAUAUUCUGGCUAAAAUAAUCAGCUAAAUAAUCAGCUAGUGAUUUCCAAUAAGUAAAAUUGGUACCUACCACUUAGUUUUGAUAUUUUGUAGCCGGAGUUAGUCUUCUUCAAUAUUUCCAACAGAAUUAAAGCUAUGAUAGGAACAAAGGUGAAAGGGAAUCAUCCAAUAUUUGGAUUUUG
rnacentral:lncRNA from 1 species